UACAGAGGUCUCAAGCGUUGUUCGGAUUCAUUGGGCGUAAAGGGUGCGUAGGCGGCGCGGUAAGUCGGGUGUGAAAUCUCGGAGCUUAACUUCGAAACUGCAUUCGAUACUGCCGUGCUUGAGGACUGGAGAGGAGACUGGAAUUUACGGUGUAGCGGUGAAAUGCGUAGAUAUCUGGAGGAAUACCGGUGGCGAAGGCGGCAUCCUGGACCGGCAUUGACGCUGAGGAGCGAAAGCCAGGGGAGCAAACGGG
rnacentral:rRNA from 1 species